rnacentral:lncRNA from 1 species
GGGACCUGAUAUGGCAGUUCCUUGAUGUGGGGAGUGUCUUUGCAUCCAGAAAGCCCCGGGGCUGGGGUUCUGGCUUGGUCUUGGAAGGGGUUCUGGGGUGGACUUGGGGGUGCUAUUUGCAAGUUAGAAGCCGAGGCUGGAGUUCUGCGGGGCCUGAGGCUGGGGCUCCGAUCUGCGGGACCCGGGGUCGCUGUCUGCAAUCUGGGCUGGUGACGGCAGGCCCGCAGGGGGGCCCGGAGGGGGCCCGGAGGUCCUACCUGGCGAGUAGAGCGCGGCUAGCUCGCGGGCCCCGGCAUGCUGCGCGCCCCAGCGCCGGCCAUACGCCGCCUCGUCCUCGUCGAGCUCCGGCUGCUGGCCCGGCCCAUCCUCGGCGCCCGCCAUGGCCCCUCGCCCGGCCCGCCUGGCACGCUCCGCUAGCGCUGCUGGCGGCGGCGGCGGCAGGGCCGCGGAAUCGCGGCGAGAUCACGCCGCCCAAUGACUGCCCAGCGCCGGGCGCGGCGGCGGCGCCGGCAGCCGCCUCGCCCGGCCGCGCGUCACAGCCAAUCGGGGCCCGCGCCGGGGCCGCGCCGGCCAAUCAGCGGCCGCCGAGCCGCAGCCAACCGCGGCGCGCGGGGGGCAGGGCCACAGCUGGGCGCAGCUGGGCGCGGAAGCGCAUCUCCGCGGGCUGCCCUGCGCCCCCGGGCCGGCCCGGCCCGGUCCGCCUCCCCGACACGCGCGGGCCGGCACCGCCCACCAUGGGCUCGGCCGCUGGGCCUGCGCAGUGGGCCGGAGUUGUGCGCCGCCGCGCCCAGAAACGGGCCUGUUUUCAGCCCGCACCGCCAAGCGCCUACUGUGUGCAAGGAGCGCGAGCGGAGGGCGCGGGGACGGGGCCAGGGAGCCCUCGCUUGGAGGACUCUUUGAAUAGUGCUCCCUAGCUGGGGCCGGUUUGCGCUGGGCUGCCUUAUGGAGCCUCACCACCUGCAGAGAUGACGAGGACCGUGCGUACACCUACUGGGUGCCGGCUUGUGCUGUGCGCCCUGGGGAGGAGAAACGUCGAGCCUGACCCCCAGGAGCUCCUGUUCUCCCCAGGGAGAGGACAGUAAACCGAUGAGAAUGACCCUAAGAGUCACUGUAAGAUUUGGACCCCUCUGGCUGCAGGUGGGCGAUGGCCUCAGGGACUGUGCAGAGGCAGGAGACCAGGGAGGCGGUGACUGCGAUAGUUCCGGUCGGAGAGGAUGGAGGGCAGACCAGGGUGACCACGGAGGAACUGAUUGCUGUGCUCACUUGUGACCACCCAGCUCACCUGUGACCACCCAGCUGGAGACAACAGACCUGCUCCCUGCUGUGUCCAUCCAUUGCUGUGCCGACAGAGCGGUCUCGUGACUAUUGUAAAAGGGACUUUUCAAUCAUAUGUGAAACAUGGUCUUUGAGGGUAUCUAACCACUCCGUACACCCCACUUCUUUGGUUCCCUUCCUUCCUUGGGGAGGGAAGGCCCCGGGCUGUAUGGUCCUCACAUUUUGGCUCAGAAUAAACUCACCCCAAUUUUCAUUUAUAGAGUGGUCAUGGGUUAUUUGCAUCGACAGGGUGAAGGUCGAGAGCAGUGAUGGGCAGUGGGAGGGGCUCAGCCUUUGAGGUUGGGGUCUCACACUGUGUUUCUUUUUAUUUUUAUUUUUUUAAAGAUUUUAUUUUUUU